AGGACGAACGCUGGCGGCGUGCCUAACACAUGCAAGUCGAACGGUCCGGCACUCAACCGACCCUCAGUCUAGCUGUAGGUGAAGUUGAGUGCCGGAUAGUGGCGGACGGGUGAGUAACGCGUGGGCAACCAACCCUGUACAGUGGGAUAACACCGGGAAACCGGUGCUAAUACCGCAUGACACCUAGAUGGUGCAUACUGUUUAGGUUAAAGGAUUUAACCGGUACAGGACGGGCCCGCGUCCCAUUAGCUGGUUGGCGAGGUAACGGCUCACCAAGGCGACGAUGGGUAGCCGACCUGAGAGGGUGACCGGCCACACUGGGACUGAGACACGGCCCAGACUCCUACGGGAGGCAGCAGUGGGGAAUAUUGCGCAAUGGACGGAAGUCUGACGCAGCGACGCCGCGUGAGCGACGAAGGCCUUCGGGUCGUAAAGCUCUGUUCUUGGGGACGAAUAAAAUGACGGUACCCAAGGAGAAAGCCCCGGCUAACUACGUG
rnacentral:rRNA from 1 species